UACGGGGGGGGCAAGCGUUGUUCGGAAUUACUGGGCGUAAAGGGCUCGUAGGCGGCCAACUAAGUCAGACGUGAAAUCCCCAGGCUCAACCUGGGAACUGCGUCUGAUACUGGAUGGCUUAAAUUCGGGAGAGGGAUGCAGAAUUCCAGGUGUAGCGGUGAAAUGCGUAGAUAUCUGGAGGAAUACCGGUGGCGAAGGCGGCAUCCUGGACCGACAUUGACGCUGAUGAGCGAAAGCUAGGGGAGCAAACGGG
rnacentral:rRNA from 1 species